GCAGUCGAACGCGUUGGCCCAAUUGAUUGAUGGUGCUUGCACCUGAUUGAUUUUGGUCGCCAACGAGUGGCGGACGGGUGAGUAACACGUAGGUAACCUGCCCAGAAGCGGGGGACAACAUUUGGAAACAGAUGCUAAUACCGCAUAACAGCGUUGUUCGCAUGAACAACGCUUAAAAGAUGGCUUCUCGCUAUCACUUCUGGAUGGACCUGCGGUGCAUUAGCUUGUUGGUGGGGUAACGGCCUACCAAGGCGAUGAUGCAUAGCCGAGUUGAGAGACUGAUCGGCCACAAUGGGACUGAGACACGGCCCAUACUCCUACGGGAGGCAGCAGUAGGGAAUCUUCCACAAUGGGCGCAAGCCUGAUGGAGCAACACCGCGUGAGUGAAGAAGGGUUUCGGCUCGUAAAGCUCUGUUGUUAAAGAAGAACACGUAUGAGAGUAACUGUUCAUACGUUGACGGUAUUUAACCAGAAAGUCACGGCUAACUACGUGCCAGCAGCCGCGGUAAUACGUAGGUGGCAAGCGUUAUCCGGAUUUAUUGGGCGUAAAGAGAGUGCAGGCGGUUUUCUAAGUCUGAUGUGAAAGCCUUCGGCUUAACCGGAGAAGUGCAUCGGAAACUGGAUAACUUGAGUGCAGAAGAGGGUAGUGGAACUCCAUGUGUAGCGGUGGAAUGCGUAGAUAUAUGGAAGAACACCAGUGGCGAAGGCGGCUACCUGGUCUGCAACUGACGCUGAGACUCGAAAGCAUGGGUAGCGAACAGGAUUAGAUACCCUGGUAGUCCAUGCCGUAAACGAUGAGUGCUAGGUGUUGGAGGGUUUCCGCCCUUCAGUGCCGGAGCUAACGCAUUAAGCACUCCGCCUGGGGAGUACGACCGCAAGGUUGAAACUCAAAGGAAUUGACGGGGGCCCGCACAAGCGGUGGAGCAUGUGGUUUAAUUCGAAGCUACGCGAAGAACCUUACCAGGUCUUGACAUCUUGCGCCAACCCUAGAGAUAGGGCGUUUCCUUCGGGAACGCAAUGACAGGUGGUGCAUGGUCGUCGUCAGCUCGUGUCGUGAGAUGUUGGGUUAAGUCCCGCAACGAGCGCAACCCUUGUUACUAGUUGCCAGCAUUAAGUUGGGCACUCUAGUGAGACUGCCGGUGACAAACCGGAGGAAGGUGGGGACGACGUCAGAUCAUCAUGCCCCUUAUGACCUGGGCUACACACGUGCUACAAUGGACGGUACAACGAGUCGCGAACUCGCGAGGGCAAGCAAAUCUCUUAAAACCGUUCUCAGUUCGGACUGCAGGCUGCAACUCGCCUGCACGAAGUCGGAAUCGCUAGUAAUCGCGGAUCAGCAUGCCGCGGUGAAUACGUUCCCGGGCCUUGUACACACCGCC
rnacentral:rRNA from 1 species